rnacentral:rRNA from 1 species
CGGCGCACGGGUGCGUAACGCGUAUCGAACCUGCCUCAUACUCGGGGAUAGCCUUGCGAAAGUAAGAUUAAUACCCGGCGGUCUCGGACGGCCGCAUGACUGUCCGAGUGAAGAUUUAUCGGUAUGAGAUGGCGAUGCGUCCCAUUAGCUAGUUGGUGAGGUAAUGGCUCACCAAGGCAUCGAUGGGUAGGGGUUCUGAGAGGAAGGUCCCCCACAUUGGAACUGAGACACGGUCCAAACUCCUACGGGAGGCAGCAGUGAGGAAUAUUGGUCAAUGGGCGAGAGCCUGAACCAGCCAAGUAGCGUGCAGGAUGACGGCCCUAUGGGUUGUAAACUUCUGUCGUACGGGACGAUAAUGACGGUACCGUACAAGAAAGCCACGGCUAACUACGUGCCAGCAGCCGCGGUAAAACGUAGGUGGCAAGCGUUGUCCGGAAUUACUGGGUGUAAAGGGAGCGCAGGCGGACUAGCAAGUUGGAAGUGAAAUCUAUGGGCUCAACCCAUAAAUUGCUUUCAAAACUGCCGGUCUUGAGUAGUGCAGAGGUAGGCGGAAUUCCCGGUGUAGCGGUGGAAUGCGUAGAUAUCGGGAGGAACACCAGUGGCGAAGGCGGCCUACUGGGCACCAACUGACGCUGAGGCUCGAAAGUAUGGGUAGCAAACAGGAUUAGAUACCCUGGUAGUCCAUACCGUAAACGAUGAUUACUAGGGGGUGGAAGGAUUGCCCCCUCCAGUACCGCAUUUUAACACAAAUAAGUAAUCCACAUGGGGAGUACGACCGCAAGGUGGAAACUCAAAGGAAUUGACGGGAGGCCCGCACAAGCAGUGGAGUAUGUGGUUUAAUUCGAAGCAACGGGAAGAACCUUACCAGGUCUUGACAUCCGAUGCAUAGUGCAGAGAUGCAUGAAGUCCUUCGGGACAUCGAGACAGGUGGUGCAUGGUUGUCGUCAGCUCGUGCCGUGAGGUGUCGGCUUAAGUGCCAUAACGAGCGCAACCCUUCUCCCUGUUUGCCAUCGGGUUAAGCCGGGCACUCCAGGGACACUGCCGUCGUAAGAUGUGAGGAAGGUGGGGAUGACGUCAAAUCAGCACGGCCCUUACGUCCGGGGCUACACACGUGUUACAAUGGGGGGUACAGAAGGCAGCUACACGGCGACGUGAUGCUAAUCCCGAAAGCCUCUCUCAGUUCGGAUUGGAGUCUGCAACCCGACUCCAUGAAGCUGGAUUCGCUAGUAAUCGCGCAUCAGCCACGGCGCGGUGAAUACGUUCCCGGGCCUUGCACACACCGCCCGUCA